rnacentral:misc_RNA from 1 species
GAAAAUCUCAUGACCCCGGUGUUUUCGGACGACGGGCUAUUGGAUAUGGGUGUCUUUGCCGAUGUGCAAGCGCCUUAAACGCAUUGUGCGUGCACCGAUUGGCUGUUCAAUGGGUUUCCAAAGUGCAACAGAAUUAUCUAUUUCACGGAGGACUCGAUGGGCUGCUUCGGAGCAUGUUCUCAAUGUUUUACACAGGGGCUGCCACAGUUGGGGUGGUCUCUGAUA